AUAAUACCACAUAAAUGUCAUUAAUAUGUAUGUAUGUGUGUAUGUGUGUAUAUAUAUAUAUAUAUAUAUAUAUAUAUACACACAUACACACAUACAUACAUAUUAAUGACAUUUAUGUGGUAUGUU